GAUGAACGCUGGCGGCGUGCCUAAUACAUGCAAGUCGAGCGAAUGGAUUAAGAGCUUGCUCUUAUGAAGUUAGCGGCGGACGGGUGAGUAACACGUGGGUAACCUGCCCAUAAGACUGGGAUAACUCCGGGAAACCGGGGCUAAUACCGGAUAACAUUUUGAACCGCAUGGUUCGAAAUUGAAAGGCGGCUUCGGCCGUCACUUAUGGAUGGACCCGCGUCGCAUUAGCUAGUUGGUGAGGUAACGGCUCACCAAGGCAACGAUGCGUAGCCGACCCGAGAGGGUGAUCGGCCACACUGGGACUGAGACACGGCCCAGACUCCUACGGGAGGCAGCAGUAGGGAAUCUUCCGCAAUGGACGAAAGUCUGACGGAGCAACGCCGCGUGAGUGAUGAAGGCUUUCGGGUCGUAAAACUCUGUUGUUAGGGAAGAACAAGUGCUAGUUGAAUAAGCUGGCACCUUGACGGUACCUAACCAGAAGGCCACGGCUAACUACGUGCCAGCCGCCGCGGUAA
rnacentral:rRNA from 1 species